rnacentral:rRNA from 1 species
UACAGAAGAAGCACCGGCUAACUCCGUGCCAGCAGCCGCGGUAAGUACGGAGGGUGCGGGCGUUAAUCGGAAUUACUGGGGCGUAAAGCGCAUGCAGGCGGCCUGUUAAGUCAGAUGUGAAAGCCCGGGGCUUAACCUCGGAAUUGCAUUUGAAACUGGCAGGCUAGAGUCUUGUAGAGGGGGGUAGGAAUUUCAGGUGUAGCGGUGAAAUGCGUAGAGAUCUGAAGGAAUACCAGUGGCGAAGGCGGCCCCCUCGGACAAAGACUGACGCUCAGAUGCGAAAGCGUGGGGAGCAAACAGGAUUAGAUACCCUGGUAG